AUUUAGAAACAACAAAUAUUACCUGGUCCAGUUUUAAAGAGAUUCCAUAUUUAUGCGAUGACGAGGAUGCCUGUUUCGUCGUUUUUCAAUCUUGUAAUCAAACCAGAUCAGUCCAAUAUGGCUGCGACUUAAUUGUUCAACACAAUACUUGUUUAAGUGGUAUAUCUCCACUGUGCGAUGCUGAUCCUCUAGCAAAUUUAACAGCAUACUUGAAUACAAUGAAUGAAGUCAUAAGAUCUACUGAUCCACGUGGAUGU